GUUGGGCAAGUGUUUUAUCGCAGAGGUUGGAGAAACAUAGCGGUAAAGGUGUAGAAAAGGAGCAGAUACGUUAUGCAAAUGUGGUCGUUUUUCUCGUUGUGAAGGCGUGGGAAUUAUCCAUACUGCAUGACGAGGUUUCAGUUGCACCUGCUGUCUUUAGCCAUGGCAAAUUUCCAAAAUCCGUAUCUCAUUUGAAUGCUUAUUUUGCACCUUGUUCAUGUUGUUUUGCAUGUGCAAGUUUCAUCAGGUGUUUUCGAGCUCGUCGUCGCCAUUUUCUUCCAUCAAAACAAACAAGUUUAAGUGUUCUUCUUUUCAAAGCGCUGUCAUUGUCAUCACUGCAUUGUACUCAUUGCAAUCCUCCCAUACGUGUCAAACAGGCACUUAACUUUGACAACAACACGCUGGCUGUAUGCCUGCUCAAUAUGUUUCCCAGUAAAGGUCUUCUGAGGACUGUUGCUCGGAGUUAUCUUUGUAAACCAUCGGAGAUAAACUCUGAUCUUUUAAACCUACUUUAAAGUCAACAAGAAAACACAAUAAGGAUAUUAUUUUCCAGCAUCAGUCAGUCUGUGGUCUCAGCGUUUAUGUUGGCAGAUUAUUACAUUUAGGGGGCUUGUAUGAGGAGAAGAGAAGGGGGCCUAGAAUUGAGCCCUGGGGUACACCACAGGAUAUGCCAUUAGGGACAUUUGCAUAACUUAAAAUGUCUUUGGAUUGUUUUUCUUUGGAUUUUAAAAGAGAAACACAAUCAACACUUUCCUCGUUGAAUAAUUUUUCCUGUUUAUCAGCUUCAGCUCUGUCAGAAAUUGGCAUAUAAUUAGCACCUCACUGAUAAUCAGAGCUCAAUAAUAGUCAUUAACAACGAUUUUACUACAUUUUAUCACUUUCCCCUCCAUGGUCAGGUACUUUUUUAAUAUUUGUGAAUAGUUAAUUGUAUGUUUGUUGCUUAUUUUGGACUCUAAAACCCAUGUCUUCCCUUUACUCUCACCUGGCAGUUGGUGAGGGGGAGUGAGCGAGCACUCGGCCUAAGCCGUGUGCGGACAUGAUCAGCUGAGCAAUGAUUACGAAUCUCUGUGAUGUUAGCUGAUGAAUCACACACGAGAGAGGGUGGGAUGAGUUUCCUAAGAACAGAAAAGAAAAAUGAAAGGCUUGGGGUUAGGAAAAAUGACCCUCGAGAAGGAAAAUAUCGACAUUUAUCAGCAAAUUUCCUCAGGUUUCAGAUCUGAAUGUCCUUUUCUUUUACAUUAUCAUGACAUCAAACUAGAUAACUAUAAGGAAUACAGGAUUUACUUUCAUAGGGGUUGAACUCAGUCUGAGAUGUGCCUUUAGAAACCUGCUCCUGAAGCUACCCAUAAUUGUUCUGCUGCGUUUUUAAGGAGCUCGGUGCUCCACUGGUUCCCCUUUGGGCGACAGCUCAAUCACCCUGAGACGAAAGAAUUUACCUCCUGGGAAAGAAAGAAGUGUACUCGCUAAGUCAUUACUGCCUCUGUGGAGGGAAUCAGACUACAACCUGUCUCUCAAAGAGGUAAUCCUGAUUUAUGAGACAGAUCCACGUCAGUCACAGCAGGGGGAAUAAGUGUUAAGUAAAAAGAAGUAAGGAAGGGGAAUCCCUCUGAAGGCAGAUUUAGACACAUGGGAGACCAAUGUGACUCUGCAGGACUUUAAUUGCUCCCAUUGGUUCUCGUUAGACUAAACAGCAUAAUCACACUCACGCUAGUUUACAGCCAAAACUCUCAAGCUGUAAACAUCCCGCCUCCUUCUCAUGCUGCUCGAAUAUACAAUAACCAUGAUUCACUGGUGACUAAAUCCUUCCUUAAAUCUUUUCUUCUCCAAACUUUCACAGGGUGGGUCUCCAGGGCGUUUUUGUGUUUACUUUCCACAGGUUGGGCUCCUCUCUUGGCUCGGACUCCACACAGAAACCAGGUGAAGUUAUGACAACUUCGGGGUGUGGUCAGGUGCUAAUCUGAGGAAUGUUUUGAUUUGCACAGGCAUGAAAUAGCCCGCAGAGUGAGCGUGACUUAGCGUCGGGAUACGAGUCUCAGAGACGCGUGACGUAGCUGAAAGGUCUCCAGUAAAUAGCCUAGGCCAGAAAUAGACGUAAUAAAGGAAACCUUUAACCGACAAACACGCCUGUAAGAGAGCCCCACCCAGCUUUGCACCUGAGCAACGCAAACAAACACAGACACACAUGCUUGUGUCUUGGUAUUCCUCGCAGAUAACAGUACAGAUUUAGACUAUAUCUCAUGACAUGUUCAGUAAAAAACGGCUUUUUUAUUAUAUAACACAAGUGGGCGGCUCGUAUGUGUUGUUUGCUUUUUGAAGCGUGACAUCUUGCCUGGACACGAGGAGACUGAUUCUGUGACAUGAACAGAUUUAUUUAGACUGAAAUGAAUCAUCAAUAAACUGUAACUGACAACAAUACACAGUUUGGGAUUUAUAAGGCGGCCCCCUUUGCCAAAUGUACAUCUGUAGGCGUACAGUCGGUUUCACACCCACUUAAACCAACAGUGAGUCACUUUCUAAAUGCUGCUCAGCUUCUUACUAUCUUCAAUCCUCCGGCUCUUCUUAAGGAGACGGAGGAGGCUUUUUGAUCUUGUUUUUUAGCUGAAAUCCCAAAACCACAUUUCUACUUUUAAAAGUAUUAUUUCAAACUAAUAAACUGUUCGAUUACAACCCCAUAAAAUAUGACAUGUUAAAAGAGAAGGAGUUGAUGGUUUGCAAAUUCGAAUCUUGAUGUUUGAUGUUCAGUAUCAGGACUCUUCGACUUCUGAGCCAUGAUGUUGAAGAAUAUGUCAUCUUGUUGGUCGCCCCUGGAGAAGGAUGACAGCAUAUGUUGGUCUAAAACAGCAUUAAUGGUGUGUAUGCUACUCAUACAAUUACCGCUUAUGAAACCCCCAUACUAUCAAAUAUGAUGGAUUUAAUCUGUGACCUAAAAACAAGCAGAUCAGUCCCGAAUCAGUACCUGUGGAAAAACAAAACCUGAGAUUCCCCCCAGAAAGAAACCUGCACUUAUAAUUUUCAGCAUUAAUGUCGCCUUCCCAGAUUUGUAAGAUAUCCAUGUAAAAGGCUUGGAUUUCUUACUAAUGCAUCCCCUGGUAUACUAAUGUAUAUCAAGGAUGCAUUAGUAUAGGCGCUAAUGCAUCCCAAGGCCAUCACAGAUGGUGGUGAACUAAUGAUAAUCUGAGUUGUCCAUAUCCUCUUCAGAGCAGAUGAAUCGACGUCCAUGAUUUCCAAGAUGAAUAUUAAGAUCUUGUAGCAAAAUUCCACUAGUUUUAGAGUUAAAUUAGGUUGUGACUUUAUUGUUUUUUCAUGGACCAAACAUUCAAUUCAAUUAUGUAAGAAAAUAGCCAUUACAUUAAUUGAUAACAAAUAGCCGUAGCCCUUUAAAAAAGCAGUCUAUCUGAUGAGCUUCAUGUUGUUUUUGAACCGCUUACAUUUCAAGAAACAAGCCUGUGUUAAAGCACACAGAGGACAUUUUCCUGUAUAUGCAUUAAUCAGGCUCCUCUGGGUUGUACUUAAGAGUGAAAGUGUUUGAACCAAACUUAUUAUCUCCAUAGUAACCCCAACAACUCGAAAGCGCCAGGUCACGUUGAACCCUUUUCAUUUCCAUCUCCGCUGACGCUGAUUCAGCACCAGUUUGCGUGGCGACCAAUUAAACACACAAAGAGCAGGUGUGAAGCACUUCUUCUGUUUUAGGCGUUCAUUACGUUGUGCGUGUUCAGCACACUGCAGCAGAAUUAUCUUACUGAGAGUUGUGUAAUGUUUGCGUAAGUCUCAGACUGUCUGUGCAUUAAAUAUGUAUAACACAUGUCUGUUUCUCUUUGAAGUGAACAGCUUUGUCUGGGCUGAGGCGGCGGUGCUGUUUGAAUAUCUGUGUGGCGAUAGCGACAUAUUCAACAACAGGAUCAAUAUGCUGCUAAUCUCCCUGGUUUGUAAUCUGACGAGGUUGCUAUAAUCCAGAUUAAAACAGAUAUAUUUGAAUGUUUUUCCUGAAGAUAUUCUGAAUUUUCUGUGUGUUGUGAACGCUCAGACACACAGCUGUGGUUAACGGUGUUGUAAACAAACACUGCAGUCCAGGACGCUGAAUGCUUCGCAUGCCAAACUGCAGCACAAGUGAUGAGGAGACCUAUUUAGUUCCUCCGCAGCGAGAAAAUAGGGCAGCUAGGGGGGAGCAGCAGGGAGUCCCAGGUCGUUCAUUACGUCACAAGAGCGAGUGUGCGUGCGAGUGAGCGGAGGGGGGCUCUGCCUGGGCUUGUUUCCUCCCUGUAUCCCAACUGCAGACAGAACAGUGGGGCGGUAAAUUAUGAAUGAAACGGAGGAAGAGGCAGUGGUGGGACGGCGCUACAGCUGAAGGACCUCCUCUCCUCCCUACAGUAUCGUUUUCCCACUCCCUUAUAGAGAUGGUAAAGCUCUACGCUGUCCUGUACAUGCUGUUCCCUGUAUUCCCUCUCUCACAGGCGCACAGAAACCACAGCUGCCGCUCGAUUCCACUGUGAGGGUGUUUUUUUUUUUUUUCACUCACAUUCGGCAUAAUGCCAACUAAAAACAUGAACAUCCUCCCAUUUGCCCGCCCUGUUUUGUUCCUGAAAUGUUCCUAUAUGACUGAGAACAGAAAACAAACCAGUUAGAUGUAUAUCCACCUAUUGUAUAUAGAGGAUUAUUACAUAACGCCUAGAGGAACCCUGAUUGUACAAAUAAUUGUCGCAGUUUUGUUGUCAUGAAGCUGCUGCGUUCUUGUUUAAUUACAUAAAAUGGGUGGUGAAAGAUGUCUGGGAUUACAGCCUGCAAGUAUUUAUGACAUCUGUGGAAAAAAGGCAGCUGUAAAUAUGUAAAGUGGGCCAAACGAGGAUCAAUCAUACGGUGAAUUGGCCCUAUAAAGCUUAUUUUAAUUACAUUCGACGACAAAGUUCAUGUUUGUUUGGUUUUCAGACUCGAGUUGAGGUUACAGAAACGUUUCCCAGAGGUGAUUAAGACUUGGAUGUUGACUAUAAACAUGUAUACGACCACAUGAGCUUGUUCCAACUUGUGUUUUCCUUCAUAUUUAACUUUAAAAUCAAUGAAAACAGUUAAGUUGCUGUUAAGCUUUGCUCCAGUACUCAUGACCCCAAGAUGAUAAAUCAGACUAACUUUGGUGUCCCUCUGAUAUCUCCUCAAGCAGCUAUUUUUAAGACCAACAAUCGUAUUAAGAAACAAAUGUUGUUUCAAAGUGCCAAAGAAAAAGAGCAGAGUCUUUGUUAAAUUAUUUAAAAGGCACAAAAUCAGUUUUAUCUCAUCUCAAAGCACUUUGCAGCGUUUGGCGAGUUACAGUGUAGUCCUGUAAUUGGCUGAAACCAGGAGCAGAGCCAAACUGAUGCUGAGUAGCUGUCUGAUACAAUCCUGCUGGGGUUCGAGGGAUAAAGAGAUGGGUAAAGACGAAUACACCAGCAGCAUCUUCAGACUUCAGGUUAUAGAAACAAUAAAAAGGAUAAAUAUUGUUUCUAGAAACAGCAAAUUAAUAAUAAAAGACUUAACUGUGACCUACACCUGAGAAAACACGGGUGUAGUCUCAGCGACAACAUCUACUGGUUUCUGAAGAGAUGUUAAGAAGCCCAAAAUUGGUGGCCGCCUUGUUGGGAAUGCUAACUCAGCCCAUUCUUCGACAAAGAGGUGCAGCCAGUCAACUGAGGGCAAAUCUGAAUGAAGUAAUGUCAUUAUAUGAGAAAAUACUCAUUACAUUAAAUGACAGUAAGUGUCGAUUAACUGCAAACCUAAUUAUGCAAAUCAGUGCACGACUCUUUGCCAAUAACCCAAAUAAAACACACAACAUACAGUGUUUACUGAUGAAACAUAAGCCAUCCAGACCAAAAUGGUAUUUUCAGCCAGGCUAUCAAAUGUGAAAUCUGUCAUUUUAACGACAAAGAGGACCAUACGUCCUCUUUUAUGGGGGCUGUCCGUGUUUGUCUGGCUUUGUCUGGGGAAGUUUAUAGAAUCUCUCAAAUGUCCGUGGUUUUGUACGGAAGUUUUGAUUUUGUGUCACAUGGACUUACUGAGUUAGAAGCGCGUAAAAACCCCCAAUCCAACCCGAAAAACUCUCUAAAUUAACUUUGUGCGACACCGUGACUCUGCCCCCGCGUAAUUGUGGCUUCUUUUUUGGAAGUCAGGAUAAGGUCACUGUAUUUUAACAUGUCUGUUAAAGACAUGGUUGACGAUUGGAGAGAUUGGUAAUUAUCAUCAAUCUUGUUUCUAUGGCGAUCAUGGUCCUAUAGUGCGAUCUCCACAAAAUGAAGAGAAAAAAGAACAGAAAAAUCCGUUCACCCUAGCAGGUGCAGGGCUUCAAAAACAUUGACCAAUGGGAGCCAUCCGUCCUGGACAGCUCUUAUUGGUCAAUCUCCUGCGCCGCCUCUCUAUCCAAUCACCUCACUGUACUCGACACACCUCUCUCCCGUAGUUCCGACUCGUCCCCUCCCACUCUACUGGCUCUCCUUGGAGCUCUGAGCGGCUAAAAGUAGCGUAGCAGCUUAGCUACAGGAACUGUGAUGGAGAAGGACGCCAAAAAAAAAAAAAAAAACACCGCCAAAAGUGGAAAGAAAACGCAAGCGGACAGAAGAAAGGGCGGAGUCGAAGAGGAAAUGUGACCAAGCGAGGAAUCUAACUGGAAUAAACAUCGGGCGGGGAGAGGUUUGUGUGUGGGGGUGGGACGCUUUUUUCAAAUCUGCCACAACGGCUCAGAUCUGCUUCUCAGAUCGUCAACCAGGACUUUAAUGGGACUUCCUGAGCUUUUGCAACCAGCCUCAAGUGGACACUCUAGGAACUGCAGUUUUGUUUUGUUUUUUUUCCAAACACAGCUAACAUAGCAUUAUCAUUUCCAGCACAUAUAGCAUCAUGAAACUCCUGAAUGUCUGCCAGCCCUUGAUUUUGACUUCUACACUCCGAUAUGACAAAUCGUGCACGAUGCUAAAAGACGUUGUUAUCGCCAGCGAAGCCCUUUCAAGAAUGCUAAAAAUGUAUGUUAAAUAUAGGACAACAAGCCGUCACACUUCCAGCUCCAGGAAUAAUGACUAAGAAGAGGCCUCUCUUUACGGCUGCAGCUCUUCUGUGGCACUUUAAAAACGGCUCCAGACCGAGAUAAACACAUCAUGCAAACGAACCAGCAGCCCUUUUAAACCCUCGCUUGUGAAGAGGCUGCUUGUUUACCACUUAGUCCCGUACACCAGGUGUGUGUGUGGGUGUUCAGACGCCAAUGUUUGCCCUUUUUCCUGCCGCUCUGUGUGUGUGUGUGUUUUUAAAGAGAACAUCAACACGAAACGUUUGGUUCGUUUACAGAGUAUUCCUGAAAACGAAGCUCAAUUCGGCUUCAUCGCACUUUCAGUUUUGUUAUUUAAAACAUGCUGAUGUGUUUCAUUCCAGCGUGUCAAUCACUCGGCGUCUAAUAAGAGACUCCCUCUGGGGAUAAUCCGCCGAGAACAAGUUCCAUUAGAAGCCUCGCUGUCUUUGUCUUUGUUUUUGGGACGUCUUUCUAAGCCAUGACAGCGGCUAAUGUCACGUUAGCUUUGACACUUGGGAUUGUAAAAGUGACAAACUGCACACGGCGACACAAAACGGGUGCCUGAAAAGCAGCGCCGUUUCGAACACGUCGUGCCCACACUCUGCUGUUUCGUGACUACAGCUGAUACGCCGACCCCUCCUCUG
rnacentral:lncRNA from 1 species